AUGCUCAAUUUGGCAGUACAUGUACUAAAAUUGGAAUGAUACAGAGAUUAGCAUGGUCCCUGCCCAGGGAUGACAUGUAAAUCUGUGAAUUGUUCCAUAUUUUU
rnacentral:snRNA from 1 species